AUGAACAUAAUGUAUUCUUUUUUUAUUCAGUUGCCACACAUGCUGCCAUCUCAAAAAGCAUUUUAUGCUGCUGUAUCUUCCCUUGGCAUCUACAGCAAAGCUGUUUACGAUGGAAAGGGGCUAUUUAGCGCCGCUCGUGUUUGGUGGAUGUUUCGUGCUUAUGGACAUGACAAAGUCUGGGUUUUGGAUGGAGGUUUGCCCCAGUGGCGUGCUUCUGGGUAUGGCGUGGAAUCAAGUGCCUCCAGCGAUGCUAUCUUAAAAGCUAGUGUUGCUAGUGAAGCAAUCGAGAAGGUUUACCAGGGGAGUCGGACAUGGAUAGAGGAGAUUAUUUUGAAUUAA
rnacentral:rRNA from 1 species